rnacentral:rRNA from 1 species
GGCGGACGGGUGAGUAACGCGUGGAUAACCUGCCUCAUACAGGGGGAUAACAGUUAGAAAUGACUGCUAAUACCGCAUAAGCGCACAGGACCGCAUGGUCCGGUGUGAAAAACUCCGGUGGUAUGGGAUGGAUCCGCGUCUGAUUAGCUGGUUGGUGAGGUAACGGCCCACCAAGGCGACGAUCAGUAGCCGGCCUGAGAGGGUGAACGGCCACAUUGGGACUGAGACACGGCCCAAACUCCUACGGGAGGCAGCAGUGGGGAAUAUUGCACAAUGGGGGAAACCCUGAUGCAGCGACGCCGCGUGAGUGAGGAAGUAUUUCGGUAUGUAAAGCUCUAUCAGCAGGGAAGAAAAUGACGGUACCUGACUAAGAAGCCCCGGCUAACUACGUGCCAGCAGCCGCGGUAAUACGUAGGGGGCAAGCGUUAUCCGGAUUUACUGGGUGUAAAGGGAGCGUAGACGGCUAGUCAAGUCAGAAGUGAAAGCCCAGGGCUCAACCUUGGGACUGCUUUUGAAACUGAGUAGCUAGAGUGCAGGAGAGGUAAGCGGAAUUCCUA